AGGACGAACGCUGGCGGCGUGCUUAACACAUGCAAGUCGAGCGGUAAGGCCUUUCGGGGUACACGAGCGGCGAACGGGUGAGUAACACGUGGGUGAUCUGCCCUGCACUUCGGGAUAAGCCUGGGAACUGGGUCUAAUACCGGAUAUGACUUCAGGUUGCAUGACGUUGGGGUGGAAAGAUUUAUCGGUGCAGGAUCGGGCCCGCGGCCUAU
rnacentral:rRNA from 1 species